rnacentral:rRNA from 1 species
AGUGAACGCUGGCGGUAGGCCUAACACAUGCAAGUCGAACGGCAGCACAGUAAGAGCUUGCUCUUACGGGUGGCGAGUGGCGGACGGGUGUGGAAUACAUCGGAAUCUACUUUUUCGUGGGGGAUAACGUAGGGAAACUUACGCUAAUACCGCAUACGGCCUACGGGUGAAAGCAGGGGAUCUUCGGACCUUGCGCGAUUGAAUGAGCCGAUGUCGGAUUAGCUAGUUGGCGGGGUAAAGGCCCACCAAGGCGACGAUCCGUAGCUGGUCUGAGAGGAUGAUCAGCCACACUGGAACUGAGACACGGUCCAGACUCCUACGGGAGGCAGCAGUGGGGAAUAUUGGACAAUGGGCGCAAGCCUGAUCCAGCCAUACCGCGUGGGUGAAGAAGGCCUUCGGGUUGUAAAGCCCUUUUGUUGGGAAAGAAAAGCAGCAGGUUAAUACCCCGCUGUUCUGACGGUACCCAAAGAAUAAGCACCGGCUAACUUCGUG